rnacentral:rRNA from 1 species
UGUGUUGUUGGGUAGGGGAGCGUUCUGUAAGCCUGUGAAGGUGUGCUGUGAGGCAUGCUGGAGGUAUCAGAAGUGCGAAUGCUGACAUAAGUAACGAUAAAGCGGGUGAAAAGCCCGCUCGCCGGAAGACCAAGGGUUCCUGUCCAACGUUAAUCGGGGCAGGGUGAGUCGACCCCUAAGGCGAGGCCGAAAGGCGUAGUCGAUGGGAAACAGGUUAAUAUUCCUGUACUUGGUGUUACUGCGAAGGGGGGACGGAGAAGGCUAUGUCGGCCGGGCGACGGUUGUCCCGGUUUAAGCGUGUAGGCUGACUUUCCAGGCAAAUCCGGAAAGUUAAGGCUGAGGCGUGAUGACGAGGCACCACGGUGCUGAAGUGACAAAUGCCCUGCUUCCAGGAAAAGCCUCUAAGCAUCAGGUAACAUCAAAUCGUACCCCAAACCGACACAGGUGGUCAGGUAGAGAAUACCAAGGCGCUUGAGAGAACUCGGGUGAAGGAACUAGGCAAAAUGGUGCCGUAACUUCGGGAGAAGGCACGCUGACAUGUAGGUGAAGCCCCUGCGGGUGGAGCUGAAGUCAGUCGAAGAUACCAGCUGGCUGCAACUGUUUAUUAAAAACACAGCACUGUGCAAACACGAAAGUGGACGUAUACGGUGUGACGCCUGCCCGGUGCCGGAAGGUUAAUUGAUGGGGUUAUCGCAAGAGAAGCUCCUGAUCGAAGCCCCGGUAAACGGCGGCCGUAACUAUAACGGUCCUAAGGUAGCGAAAUUCCUUGUCGGGUAAGUUCCGACCUGCACGAAUGGCGUAAUGAUGGCCAGGCUGUCUCCACCCGAGACUCAGUGAAAUUGAACUCGCUGUGAAGAUGCAGUGUACCCGCGGCAAGACGGAAAGACCCCGUGAACCUUUACUACAGCUUGACACUGAACAUUGAGCCUUGAUGUGUAGGAUAGGUGGGAGGCUUUGAAGCGUGGACGCCAGUCUGCGUGGAGCCGACCUUGAAAUACCACCCUUUAAUGU